GCACACAGCCCUUCAGGGGUUAAAAACAGGGCACAGGGGUUAAACAGGGCACAGGGGUUAAACAGGACACAGGGGUUAAAACAGGACACAGGGGUUAAACCGGGCACAGGUGUUAAACAGGACACAGGGGUUAAACAGGAUACAGGGGUUAAAACAGGGCACAGGGGGUUAAACAGGACACAGGGAUUAAAACAGGACAGCCACUUUUUCUCUCCUCUGGGACCUCAUUCCUCCUCCUGUUUCCAGUUUAUUUCACUUCAAACCCUCUCACCACCCAAACUCCGGGACCUCAUUCCUCCUCUUGUUUCCAGUUUAUUUCACUUCAAACCCUCUCACCACCCAAACUCCACCUCCUGUGACAGGGAAUUGUUGUCUCUUCCUACAAACCUGUAAUUACCAGGCACGAGCGAGCCCUGGAAUGGAUUUUUUGGGAGUGCAGUGCCACAGGAACACCUGGGAACGGGCUGUACCAGGAGGUGUCCUUUGCCCAGAAGAUCCUGCUCAGCACCAUCCUUCCUCUAAAAUCAGUGCUCUGACUCACCCAAACGCCUCAAAUCCCAACUUU
rnacentral:lncRNA from 12 species